UAAGGGUUUGCUUAUCUCUGGGUGGCU
rnacentral:piRNA from 1 species